GACGAACGCUGGCGGCGUGCUUAACACAUGCAAGUCGAACGGAAAGGCCCCUUCGGGGGUACUCGAGUGGCGAACGGGUGAGUAACACGUGAGUAACCUGCCCUUGACUUCGGGAUAACUUCAGGAAACUGGGGCUAAUACCGGAUAGGAAUCCUUGCUGCAUGGUGGGGGUUGGAAAGCUUCGGCGGUUUUGGAUGGACUCGCGGCUUAUCAGCUUGUUGGUGGGGUAGUGGCUUACCAAGGCUUUGACGGGUAGCCGGCCUGAGAGGGCGACCGGCCACAUUGGGACUGAGAUACGGCCCGGACUCCUACGGGAGGCAGCAGUGGGGAAUAUUGCACAAGGGGCGGAAGCCUGAUGCAGCAACGCCGCGUGCGGGAUGACGGCCUUCGGGUUGUAAACCGCUUUCAGCAGGGGCGAAGCUUGUGGUGACGGUACCUGCAGAAGAAGCACCGGCUAACUACGUG
rnacentral:rRNA from 1 species